GUGGGGAAUAUUGGACAAUGGGCGCAAGCCUGAUCCAGCCAUGCCGCGUGAGUGAUGAAGGCCUUAGGGUUGUAAAGCUCUUUCAGUGGGGACGAUAAUGACGGUACCCACAGAAGAAGCCCCGGCUAACUUCGUGCCAGCAGCCGCGGUAAUACGAAGGGGGCUAGCGUUGUUCGGAUUUACUGGGCGUAAAGCGCACGUAGGCGGAUCGGUAAGUCGGGGGUGAAAUCCUGGGGCACAACUCCAGAACUGCAUUCGGUACUGGCGAUCUUGAGUCCGGAAGGGGUGAGUGGAACUCCGAGUGUAGAGGUGGAAUUCGUAGAUAUUAGGAAGAACACCAGUGGCGAAGGCGGCUCACUGGUCCGGUACUGACGCUGAGGUGCGAAAGCGUGGGGAGCAAACAGGAUUAGAAACCCCUGUAGUCC
rnacentral:rRNA from 1 species